rnacentral:tRNA from 1 species
GGAGAGGUAGCUCAGCGAGGUAGAGCAUCAGGGUGAAAUCCUGAGUUUGCGCUGGUUCAAUUCCGGCCCUCUCCGCCA